rnacentral:rRNA from 1 species
CCCUUAGAUGUCCUGGGCUGCACGCGCGCUACACUGAUGUGUCCAGUAAGCACCUAACCUAUUCCGAGAGGAGCGGGUAACCUUAGCAAAGCACAUCGUGAUGGGGAUAGAUUAUUGCAAUUAUUAGUCUUGAACGAGGAAUUCCUAGUAAGCACAAGUCAUCAGCUUGUGUUGAUUACGUCCCUGCCCUUUGUACACACCGCCCGUCGCUCCUACCGAUUGAGUGAUCCGGUGAGGCUCUGGGACCUGGACGGAAAGAGCGUUUCGCUUGUUCUGUUUGGGAAACUUGGUCGAACCUUAUCAUUUAGAGGAAGGAGAAGUCGUAACA